rnacentral:lncRNA from 1 species
UCGGCGCUGAGGAAGGUCUGUAUGAGCUGUUGGCUGUUGUGCCAGGCCGGCUGGGGCCACGUGUGGACAGCCAGGAAGACCUGACCUUCCUCUGGGAUAUGUUUGGUGAGAAAAGCCUGCAUUCACUGGUAAAGAAGUUACUCGUCGAGCACCAUUUUCCUUUAGGUUAGUGAUUUCUGAAUUGUAUUCAUGAAACAUUUCCUUAAUGUGUGACCAAAAAGCUAUUCCCUUUUUCAUUUUCACUUUGAUUUCGCU